GAUGAACGCUAGCGGCAGGCUUAACACAUGCAAGUCGAGGGGUAUAGUUCUUCGGAAUUAGAGACCGGCGCACGGGUGCGUAACGCGUAUGCAAUCUACCUUUCACAGAGGGAUAGCCCCAGAGAAAUUUGGAUUAAUACCUCAUAGUAUAGCAGUUUCGCAUGAAACCACUAUUAAAGUCACAACGGUGAAAGAUGAGCAUGCGUCCCAUUAGCUAGUUGGUAAGGUAACGGCUUACCAAGGCAACGAUGGGUAGGGGUCCUGAGAGGGAGAUCCCCCACACUGGUACUGAGACACGGACCAGACUCCUACGGGAGGCAGCAGUGAGGAAUAUUGGACAAUGGGCGCAAGCCUGAUCCAGCCAUGCCGCGUGCAGGAUGACGGUCCUAUGGAUUGUAAACUGCUUUUGUACAGGAAGAAACACUACUUCGUGAAGUAGCUUGACGGUACUGUAAGAAUAAGGAUCGGCUAACUCCGUGCCAGCACG
rnacentral:rRNA from 1 species